CGUACCUUUUAAGCAUCUUUAUUUAUGUACAUAUAAAUAGAACAGGUCUGACUACUGGACACAUUUUAACCAACUGCUUUGCAUGCGGUGUCUGUUACAUCUGCUUCAGAUUUCGUGUGAGUGGACGUAUAAAAGGUCGUGGGGCUUACGGACACAGCUUCACUGCAGUUGACAGAAUCAUCUUAGCGAAUCCACUCGAGUCUUAUCUUGGAGAUAUACCUGAGCAAACAAUGGCAUUCGCCGGUGUUCUGAAUGAGGCUGACAUCACUGCAGCCCUUGCGGCCUGCAAA